CCAGAGCCGCUGCCCGCCGGGCCCGGUCCCGGCCGUGCGGGUCCCUUUCCUGUCUAUCCGGUGAAUCCCGGCCCGGGAGGAAGAGGAGGGGUGGGGGCGGGAGCCGCGGCUUCGCAGGGGGCCGGCAGGCAGCCUGUGCCCUUCUUCAUGGCGAGGCCGGGGGAGAGCAGGCUCCCGAGGAGGGAACCCGGGAGCUGACUCAACGGAGCAGUCCAGCAUGUUUUCCCGGGAGCACGGCUUCCCUGCCGGAGCCAGCGGAGGGAGGUCUGAGGAGGCAGUGCAGGGUUUCAGUGAUGUUAUAGACUCUCCCACUGAAGGUUUUCCAUGUGUCCUCACUCCUGCUGUCCCCAACAAGACUGCGGACUUGUUUGAGAUGAUUGAAAAAAUGCAGGGGAGUCGUCUGGAUGAACAAAGGUGUUCCCUUCCAGCUCCUCUCAAGACAGAAGAGGAGUAUAUUCCUUACCCCAGCAUCCAUGAGGUAUUACAGAAAGGGUGGCCAUAUCCUCUCAUUAUCCUUCCCCAGUUUGGGGGCUACUGGAUUGAAGGGACCAGCCACAACCUCUCCAGCUUGAGUCCAGCUCUGUCUGAGGUACCCUUUUCCUGGAGUGGUAAAGUGAAACUGGAAAGUGACCCUACAGCCAAGCUGUACCGCAAACAUUUUCUGGGAAAGGAGCACCAGAACUUUUACUCCAGUGACAUGUCCUUGGGGUACCUAGUACUUUCUGUGAAGUAUGAACAGAUCGAGAAGCAGGAAAAUCUACGCCUGUUGCUGAGGACUCGUACUGGCACCAAACAUGACCUAAUUCCCAUUUCCUGUCUGAAUGAGUUUCCCAAUGCUGUUCAGAUGGCAAAGCUACUGUGUGAGGAUGUGAAUGUUGAACGCUUCUUCCCUGUCCUCUAUCCCAAGGCUUCUCAGCUUAUUGUUGCAUUUGAUGAACAUGUCAUAAGCAAUAACUUCAAAUUUGGGGUCAUCUACCAGAAACCUGGACAGACAACUGAAGAAGAAGUCUUCAGUAACACAGUAGAGAGUCAGGGUUUCCUGGAGUUCCUGGAUUUCCUUGGUGACAAGAUUCAGCUGCAGGAUUUCCGUGGGUUCCGGGGAGGCUUGGAUGUUACCAGAGGUCAAACAGGCACCGAGUCAGUCUAUACAAAUUUCCGGGGGAAGGAGAUCAUGUUUCAUGUGUCCACAAAGCUGCCCUUCACAGAGGGAGAUUCCCAGCAGCUUCAGCGGAAGCGUCACAUUGGGAAUGACAUUGUAGCCAUCAUUUUCCAGGAUGAAAGUACACCUUUUGUCCCUGAUAUGAUUGCUUCUAAUUUCCUACAUGCUUAUGUGGUAGUUCAGCUCACUCAUAGCACCACUGGGGACACUCUCUACAAGGUUUCAGUCACCGCCCGAGAUGAUGUCCCCUUCUUUGGACCCCCUCUGCCAAAUCCAGCCAUAUUUAAAAAGAGUACAGAGUUUCGUGAAUUCCUUCUGGUCAAGCUCAUCAAUGCCGAGUACAGCUGCUAUCGAGCUGAGAAAUUUGCUAAAUUAGAGGAAAGAACACGGAGUGCCCUCUUGGAGAGCCUUUUUGAGGAGCUGCAGCUUCGCAGCCGCAGCAUGAUGGGAUUACCUGUAGGGGAGGAUGACAAGAUAGAGAAUGGCAGCGGGGGCUUCCUCGAGAACUUCAAGCGGGUGAUCAGAGGCCGCAGCCAGAGCCUGGAUACCAUGGGGAUAUCCAUGAGAAAGCAGCAGCCAGCCACCCUGCCCAGCCGCCCAGCUACAGCUGGCCUUGCCCUCAGCCAGAGUGUCGCCGAGGGCCCUAAGGCCAUUGCUGCGUCUUUUGCCUUGCCUGGUAGGAGCCCAUCACGUACUCGAGCCAGCCGCUUCCAUGGGCGACGGAGUAGUGCCAUUGGCAUUGAAAACAUACAGGAGGAAAAGAGCAGAGACACCGCAGAGAGGAUACAGAGGGUGUUGGACAGUCCAGGAACUUUCUUUGACUUGAAGUCUGAUGGAUCAUCCAGUCCCAGCUCUCCAGAGUUCCCCAGCAGGAAGAGCAAAAUGCUCAGGAGUCAGACUUCAGGAUACUGUGUGAUGCAGCCACUCUCACGUUCAUCAUCCAGUGUAAGCAGUUGUUGUAGUGGAUUGAGGGAAAAUGGAACAUCUGAGGAAGAGGAGAAUGACAGGGAGCUGAUGUGCUCACUUAAGGGCCCUCCAAAACAGGAUUCAAUGGUUCAGAGUAUGUGGCUGGAUGACAGUGACUGCACACCCAGUACUUCUAGCUCACCAGGAAGCAGGUUGCUUCCUUCCAGCAGUGUUGCUGGCUCCACUGGAAAAGGAAAAGGCAGCAAAGCAGAUGCUCAGCACCAUAAUCCAGCCUCCAUUUUGUGCUGUGUGUGAUGUCAGCGCUGGAGGACUGUCUGCUGCACGCGGGGUGAGGAGCACAGGGUAAGGGAAAGAAAAUCAACCAGGAAAGAAGAAUGUUCACUCUGCAAGAAGUUAAAUCUUUAAUCUCUAAUGUUAAUCUUUGAUCUGUUGAAGGAAAGGAAGCAUAUUUGUAUUGGCAAACACGUCACCUGGCUGGUAAUACUGGCGAGCCUUGAAACUCUUCGAAAUUAGAGAUGCGACCAAGCUGUAAAGUUAACUCUUAAGGAUGAGAAAGCCAUCUCUCCAUAAAAUUGAAUACAUUCAGAUAAUCGCUGAGGAUUGUCAUAUAUAUUUUCCUUCCUAUAUAUUUCUCCAGGACUUUUCACAGCUUGGAGCUUGGAACUGGUCCCAGCCAUUUUUCACCUGCAAGACAAACCAGCACAAAAGAGACAGUUAAAAUGUAAUCCAUAGAAGUGAUUGGCCGGUCACUUUUCUGCAGCAGGAUUGCUGUUCCUACUCUUUUGAAGAGUAACUACUGGUGAUGGGAUACAGAUUUAUAUCUUGUUUGGCAUGCUUCAGCCAGCUCCAUAAAUCUUUAACUGUCUAGUCACAAUUGAAACUGUACAGAAGAAUUCUUUUCCUCUAUGACAGAUGAGACAUUCUGCAGGUCUGGGGUAUUCCAUGAGGGUCAAAUCAGUUCUUUUUAGGACUCGUUUUUGGGGGGCUGGGAGUUACAAAAACAGGGUGCAAGGCUGGGGAGUCAGAGAAUCGAAAGGAAAAUCUGAUUAAGUCCUUGGAGUUGAGACGAGAAACCAGGCCACAACAUUCCAGUCAGUAUUAGUGACUACUGUAGUGGGUGCUGGGUACUCUUCUUUCUCACUCUCAUGUUCAUCAAGAAUAUUUUAUAGAAUCAGAAACUCAUCCAGAAGACUAAAAAAAAAAAAAAAAAAAAACCCUCAAAAUAUUUCCCUUCUGUUUAAGCCUAUGACUAAUACUAAUUUGCAUGAAUUAAUACUUUCUACUGAAUGUUUUCCACAAAUGCAUCAGAGCUAAUUAUGUGCAUAAUUCUUUCUAGAGACGUACUCUCUCAAGUGCCAAAUCUUGAGCUCAAUAGUCAAGUGUCCUCUAACUCAUAAAAACAGGUGACUUUAGUUUUAUUAUUUGUCACAACCUACUUCAAUCCCUUAAAGAAUUUAGUGUGUAUUCUGUUAAUAGAAAAAUGAAAAGAAGGAUGGCCAGUAUUUGAAUAGCUUUUAAAAAGUUGUGUAGGUAGACACAAGUUAUGGAUUGGGGAGCUGUAAUAAUGUACUUUUACUAAGAAGGAACAGCUGUAAUGUGAAAAUGUUAGAACUACAAAAAAAAAAAAAGAAGUAGCACCAGCCAUAGUCUUAAUCUUAGCCAAGGCCUAUUGUCCAGUACCAAAAGGUUAAGUACAAAUAUUUUGAGAACUGAAGAGUUUCAGUAGUAGUUUGAGAAUGGCACAUGGAGCACAAAGCAUUGAAACAUACCAAGAGAGGAUGGAGAACUCAAGUUACUUCUGGUCUGGAAAAUUUGGUCACUCUAAGUUUACUGAGACAGAUUUCAGUCAGCAUUUUCAUUCCACGAGAAGAAUAACCAUAUUUAACAUUUGAAAGCCCUUAAGAGUGUUUUACUCAGCUGCAUUACAUAUUUCAUUACAAGAGGGUGAAAGCAUAAAACCAAAGUGAUGUUAUGAGGUAGACUCACCUAUAACACUGCCUAGCAGCUCUAAACGAUCGGAGCCAAAAAAGAGAUGAGGUUCCCCAUCAUAAUGUGCCACAACAGCAGGCAUCCCAAAUGCCUAUUGACACCAUGGAGAUGAAACAGAGAAUGUUAUAAUGAGAGAAUUUCUUGCAGACACAUCAUCAAUCUCCAGGAAUAAAUCCCAAUAACUUCUACUUUUUCUCCUCCCCUUCUUUUCACCUUCUCAUUCUUAAAGAUAAGUCUAAUGAAGCCAUUUGGAAGUAGAUGUCUCUCCAGAGCCUGUGUGCCCCUUUUGAAGGAGCAUAAAAAACAACCUGAUUAAUCCACAGCUCUGUUUCAAAUAGCAGUAAAUGGUAUCUCUUAGUACUGGUCCUGUCCUUGCUGUCCAGCUGGAAUGAGCUGAGUGGGUCAACCUUGUUUUCCCAGAUGACAGCGAGAUUAACUACCAACAACAGUGAGGUGGCUUUCACACACUGAAAUACAAGGAGCACCCUGAAGGGAUUGUCUAUAUAGUGCUUUCUAAUCAUCACCCUCAUUGUUCCUUGCUUCCCUGUAUUCUUAAUAGGGAAGGAGUGCAUAGCUGUGAAGCCCAAUGCCAUUGGAAGCAUCUCACCCCAUAUUUAAUCGCUUCAGCUGUUGUCUCUUUCAGUCGGUCCUUCACUGCAGGGGAUGAAAUCAUUUCAAGUGCCUUCUGGGAGAGCUCUGCUGAGAGCCCAGCCUGUCGGGCAACCUGAGAAAAGAUUAUAUAAUUAAGAAUACUCUAAUAGUAAAUACUCUAAUUCCUACCCUGGUCUAAUUAAUUUAAUCUUCAGUAUUAUCACCUAAGGUCUACUGCCAAAAAAAUUCAAAAUACUCUUGAAGCACUUCUUGCAUAAUUGUCUUGCUGUAUUCCCAACCUAUUCAUCAUUUAACAACUCUCAGAUACAAAGCAGAAGAGACAUUUUAAACUUCCAAGUCCCAAAUCGGCACUUUUUUCCCCAGUAGUUCUGAAAUUGAAGAAAAAAAAAAAAACCUUUGAUACAAUGACUCAUCAGAUAACUUACAAAAAACCUCAAGCUGGUGUUAUGAAAAAUAAAAUCUCACUGUACAAGCUUACCAAGACAAACAGUUCGUGUGACAAAUGUGGGAUCUGUAAGUGAUACUACAUGAAGGACACUGUAAAUCCCAGAGGUUAAACAGUUGCUGGUGUUAUUGCUGUAUCUUUUUCACCUCCCCUGUGCCUCUGCCACACAGGAAUGAGACUAAGUAGCCAAAUUCAAAGGUACAAUGUUUAUCUGGUAACACAACUAUAAGUACCCUUGUUAAUAAAGUGUUUCACACACACACAAAAAAAAAAAGGUAAAAAGAAAAAAAAGAAAUACAAUAUUGCACAUGGACAAGUAAGCCUGCACAUGCAGGUGUUAAUGACUCUUUCUUUCUUUCAAUCACUUUUUCUGUUUAGCACCCACAUUUUCUUGUACCUUCUCCCACUUACACAUCAGGGAAAUGAGGAGGGCUUUUUGACUGUGCUUGAACAGGAGGUUAAACAAGUGUAGCCCUGGACUAGAACAAAAUGCUUGGUAGCCACAGUGUUUAGACUGCAGUAUUUAUACAGUGAUGUAGUAUCUGGUCCUCACCAUUUCAGGGCAGAAAGAGUGUGUAAGUGGGCUGGGGCAGAAUUCAGACUGUACAUUGCUGCUAUAGCAAUUUAUGUGAAGCUACUGCUGACUGAAUAAAGAAGUAAAAAAAAUACUGAGGAAUUAUUACCAAGUAAAAUAUGUUCCAUUUUCUUGACGGAUGUGUAAAAUAAAUUCACCUGUAAAGACUCAGAUGAUUGGGUUGGGCCCUCUUAUCCACCUUUGGAUGACAAAUUUCCAGAAGAGAGGAAAGUUUAGUACUUGCUGCAGGAGUGAAUGAAGACAGACACAAGCAGACAAGGGGACACCUCCCUCUGCCUUGAUGAACGGGGGGGAUACUCACUGGCUGCCAAACUGUGACUAAAUUAGAGAUCUUUCUGAGUAUGGAGUUUGUGGCACUGAAGUUCUGCAUGUCCUUGCUUUAUUUAAAUAAUGAUGGAUUCAGAGGCUAUGUGACAAUGUUCUGUAUAUAAUUUUGUGCUGAGUCUAGCUGGGAUGGAGCUGCUUUUCUUCACAGCAGCUGCUAUGGUUUUGUGUUUCAGAUCUGUGACCAAAACAAUGCUGAUAACAUCCUAAUUAUUUUAGCUAUUGAUGAAUGGUGUUUGCACAGUGUUGAGGAAGUGUCUGGUUCUCACUUUUCCCCCACAGUGAAUAAACUGGGGCUUCACCAGAGGCUGGGAGAUGACCUGAACUAACCAGAGAUAUACCAUGCUCAACAGUAAUUGGUGAGGAGGUGGUUUAGGGAGGUUAACCUUUUUCUUGGGAACUGGCUGAGCAUCAGUCUGCAUGUAGGAGGUGGUUCUUUGUUUUCUUUCACUCUGCUUCCACUUCUCUUUUGCUUAUUAAGCAAUUUUAUCUCAACCCACAAGUUUUCUGUCUUCUAUUCUUCUUUUCCUCUUCCCCUGUCCUCCUGGGCAGUGGGAAGAAGCAAGUGAGCACCUGUGUGGUGCUUGGCUGCCUACCACAGUGAAAGUGCCACACUUUAAUUUUAUCCUUCAAAUCAUGCUUCUUAAAAAAGCAAAAUGCAAACAUUUGCUGAAAUGUUGGUAAAAAAAGCUACAUUAAGAUGAAGCUGAAGUGCAAGGACUAGACUUGGGGGGAACAGCAAGACUGCAAGUUUCAGAUUUCAGCUAGGGACCUCUAGGGAUAGGAGAGAUUAGUCAUGGACAAUUCCUCUCUUUUCUUCAUAUUCCAAGAACUUAAAAUGUAGAAAGGAGAGCCCUUCAAGAGGAUCUCCUGGUAUACUAACUUACCUGCCAUCACAGCUUUUACUGUAAUAAACAAAAUCGAAACAGCAAAAGAAAGUACAUCAAGAGUAUAAUUUCCAGGCAUAUAAGAGGGAAAUACAGCACUGAGCUUAAUAGAAAACCUGACUCCAUCACUCCAAGGAAAGUCAACUUCCCCAAGUGUUCCAUUUCACCUGGAAAUUUCAUAUAGCAGCAAUACCUCAAUGCAUUCUACAGAAACUUUUCAUACUUUCAUGACUGUUAAUGAAAUAAUAUCAACAGAUAACUCAUUGUCCCGCCUGGGUAUCUUGCCACAUGAAUUAAUAAAAAAAAGUGGCUUCUGGUUCUGAGUGUUAUACAAAGCAUGACAGAAAAAAAAAAAAAACCCAAAACAUUCCAAACAGAGCUGCUAGGGAAAUUAAAUAAUUUUUUUUUCUACCUGAAAUUUUCCAAUACUCCAAGUGUUCAUUUGACUAAGCUGUGUUUAUGUCUAUUACUGAUCCAAGUCAUCAAUAAGAGUCUCUAUCAAAAAUGCAGAAGCACCAAGAAAAAGGAGACACUUACAGCCAAGAUGUUCUCUGGCUGACUGAUAUCUUCAUGCUGGUGAAAGAAUAAAAUAAGUAAAUCAGCAUUUAAGAAACAAAAGCUCAGCUCUGGACUUAAAAGCAAAUUUUCUAAGAAAACAGAAACAAACCCAAUACUAGUUGCUGGAGAAAUGACCUCAGAAAAGGUCUUAAGUCAGCUAAUCUAGGAAUGUAUUAAAGUGUUUUCUGAUAUGAACCACUGAUCCACACAGCCCAUUGGACUGACCAUAUAGACCUAAAAGAAGGCACAUUAAGCUGACUAUAAGCUUGUUCUUUUCAUAGUGGCUCCUGAACCAUUGUGACUUUAAGUUCCUGCUAUGACUUUUCAUUAAAAGACAUUUUCUUCCUCUUGCUGAAAUUCCACAUUUGAAUGAUGUGGGACAGGAAAGGUGACAAGAAAAGGUCAAGAAGUUGGCCACAUAAAAUACUGACCUGUGACCAAAACCGCAUCCAGAACUCCCUAGAUAAGGGUUCUAGGUACUGUGGGUUUGUCAUGUCAAUGGCUGUGACAAAGCGCAUGGCCGCCAGACUGCCUGGAUUCGUGGGGAGACAGAGAACAGAGACAAGGCACAGGAUCAGGAGCAGGGGUGGUCUGCACAAGUGCCACCUAAAAACAGCAUGAUCUCCCCUGUUAACAGUCCUGAGAAACCCACAGUCUGUAGUAGCUCAUGUUGAUCCACAGUUAUCUCCCACGCUAGUAUCAUUCACAGCCAUAUUUCUCCAGAGAUUUCUUUCAUGGCUUAGAAUGCACAGACUUCAUACUGCUCACAGGUUCAGGAAAGGGCUGCACACAGGGAAUUCAUCUCCACCUUUACUGGUAGGGAGAACUCAAACCAGAAGUGCUAGGGAUGAGAAAUACCAGCUAAGCUAAAACUCUUUCUUACUUGUAGCAAGGAUACGCUGGAAGUCAUCUCUGGACAUGUGUACAGGCACCUGGUAGUAUUUUCCCAUCCUUUUUAGAUCCUUCAGCAUGUAUUCAGCACGCUUUGGUAACAUUGCUGGUGGCUUGUUACCUUUUAGGAAAAAGUUCUGUUGAGAUUUCCAACUGUAUUAUAAUAACACUGAACAAAUUAUGCCUCAUGCAUAUAUGUGCCUAAGGAAGAAUCUAAGUUCAUAGUCAAAUUUCAUAUUGGCUUACUGGAACAUACUCAGCUUUUCCAAAUAUAAUGCUAUGAUUUAAACAUGGUUUAUUUCAGUUUUGCACUGAUCAAACCUUUAAGAUAGCUGAAUCAGUUUUAAACCAAGGUACAAAUGUCCUAGCAGGGAUUUAUGUUGCUUCAGACAGAUUACUUUUACGCUUGAGAACUCCUAAUGCAUGGGUAAACUGAUGCAAAGACUUGUUGAUUCAUGAUUUGUAACUCUUGGUGAUCUAAUUAAGGCCAGGAGUACUGUUUCAGGACAUCCUUGUAUCCUUCCUGCAUAUUACAAAGUGCAAGUGUUCUACAAAUUAGUUCUGGUUUAAAAAUCUAACUGUAGGAAAACACUCCAUAUAUUAUUAUUACUAUUAUUAUUAUUGUAUUUUAGAACUGAUGAACUUCGGCACAGACUGUCAGUGUAGUUGCAACAGUGUGAAAUUCCUUGUGACUUAUUUCUCAAUCCCUCUGGAGCUCCACAGUCCUAUAGUUAAUUAGUUACUGGUGCCGAAAGGUAGUUCAGAGCUGGCUCUAUGUGGGCUCUGCACACACCAAGGGCUUGCACACUAGUGCUGUGCUAGUGAAAAAGGUAUCUCCCUGCAGCGCUAACCUCCCUAUACUCCAUACCGGUUUGUUGCAUUAUGCCACCAAGGAAAGCUGGACGGAAGCGCAAGUCAAUAUUCCAGAUGUGCUGGUACCGGCAGAGAACCUGCAACGUGAAAGAGAAGCGAUGGAUUCACAGUCGAGACGUCGAUAGAGCUGUGUGCAGCUACGGCAGUAAACACUGCAGAUAAAUCCUUUCCCAUUGUAUUAGGGCUAGUCCUAAAGCCUUUUCUGGAUGCUGCCAGAGAACUCUGAUCUCAGAAGAACUGAUGAGUCUCUAUUCGUGCCACGACUAUAUAAGUCUAACUAGGGUUAAGUAAGGGCAAGAUCAAGCUCAUGAAUGGAGGCUCGCACUUGUUAAACAUGAAAACUAUCCCCGAAGCAGAAUGUUCAGUACUAACUCCUACACUGCCGUUUGGCUCGGACACGCUUCUCUGGUGUCCCUGGACUUCAACACGCGAGGGAGAAGCCCAGGCACCCCUCAGAGAUGAUAACCUACUAUACUAUAAUUCAAGUCGUCCUGGCGAAGUUUUGAUGAACAUAGAAUGAGAUCUAAUAAGGACACAUAGAAGGCUACAGAUGAAGGGAGAGACACUCAACUGCGUCGUUUGAAAGAUCCAUGUCUAGUGAUAGGUAGUAUUCUACAGAGCAGGAUUUGAAGCUGCAUCAGACAUUGAGCAUUCUCAAGAGUGUCUUCUUGUUGGAAGGAAGUAUCACACUGGCAUCCAUAAACAGAAGGAUAUGCUGUAAGAAAUAAGAGCUGGUCCUUCUGCUCUACUUGACGCUAGUAAGAUCUCAGUACCAUGCUGUAAAGAAAUACUGUAAAAUUUUGGUUUUGAAACAAUUUUUGAAAGAUAUGGACUGUCUAACACGGACUGAAUGGAGACACAUAAUGAGCAGAGUGUUGUCAACAAGGCCUAAGUAGAAAGUUGACUAAUUUAGGUUGUGGCUGUCUAUAGAAACAAAAUACAAAACAGAACUGAGGACAGGUUUGUGAACAAACUGUUAUCAGUCUUCAAGCACUUAAAAGGCUGUUACAAAGACGGCUGCCACCCUCGGUCCCCAUGGUCAUUCUAAUAAGAAGUAACAAUUUUAACUUGCAGCAGUGAAAACUUAGCUUGGGUUGGCCACAGGCAAGAAUUUUAUGGCUAUAAGGAAAGCAGAGCAUGGGUAUAUAUUAGCUGGCUGUAAGAACAGAACUGCACUGCUCUUCUAGCCUCACCUGUCUGUGAGUCCUUGUUUCUGUCACUUUCUCCAGGGAUCCCAAUAAUAUCCUGUUCAUUCUGCCCAGAAAGAGAAGCAUCUCCAGGUCUAUGAGCUUCUGUUGCAUCAUCAUAACCAUCUUCCAGGGCAUUUUCAGGCGGUGGAGAGGUCUCUGGAACAGUACGGCUGUUAACUAUAGCAGGGAGAGAUCUUCCACUGGGGAAAGCAGUAGCUGAUGAUCCAGCAACACAGGGCUGUAAUACUGGCAUGUCUGUGCUUAACUGGAAUCCAUCCCUCAGAGAACAUUAGUGUGCACAGUUUUAUUGUAUGUACAUAUGCUUACAAAUAAUAUAUGUGUAAAUAUAAGACUAAAUCAAAGCACUCCUGUUUCACUUUUUGCCUAGCAAAAUAUAUUCAAUCUGAAUAAGAAAAAGAGACUGUAUUUGGAAAAAUUAUCUUCUCUAUAAGCACUUCAAAGCAACUAAGGAAAAGCUUUUCGUUUAUUUUUAACUAGAAAAAGUCUUUAAUAUAAGAAAGCAAUAGAAAAUGAAGACAUGAUCCAGCAGAAUCCGGGAUAUGGGCAGCUGAGGUCCAAAACUGCUUGUGCUUUUAGUAGUUGAUCUCUUGGACACCAGGCAAUAGUUAAGAGAGCUUUUUGAUCAGCUCUAGGAAAAUGCAGUUCUUCUCCAAACACUUGCUCUCCCUCAGUUAUUUCAAAUUAAAAAAAAACACCAACAACCAACCCAAACCACCCCAAAACUCCCACAGCUAGGAAUCUGGAUUUUCUUCAGAGUGCUUGUAUUUUUUUUAGAUCACUCGGAUUAAAAUUCCCAAAUUAGCUCAAAUUA